ACCAGUUUUGGUGUUAUCUGCAAACUUACAAACCAUUCAUCCAAUAUUCAUAUCCAAAUCAUUUCUAUAAAUGACAACUGUAGCUAGUUACUGAUGCCUCUACCAGAAAGAUGUUUUAUUUUACAAUUAACUCUAUCCAAUCCUUUCAUAAUGCUGAUCACCGAUAAUUAAAUGCUCCCUUCAGCUUGCUUUAUCUUCUGGGACUAUUUACUAUCUCAAGUGAGCACGUUCACUCACGGUAAUGUUAAUGCACAUUCCAAACUGGCUUUUCAAAAUAUGCUACCACCUGACGUAACAUACAUUAAACACGUUUAAGUGCAGAGACAAGUCAGGAAUGGCUGAAUUAAGUGUACAAAAAGCACACCAAAGCAUUUUUAACCUCAAAGUUAAAAUGUAAUUGGAGGAGCCUUAACUUGUGAUUGUUUCCACAUAGCUUUUGUCUUUGGAAACUAAUGUUUACUCUGUGUAGGUAUCACGCCAGAGAUGUAGGGGGUGGGCAGUGGCACUGAUGGUUGAGAAAUAUCAAGGGCAGGGUUCGCUGUCACUCUAUAAACCCAAAAGGAAAAUUGGUAAAAGUUAGCCAUGCAAACAUUGUGGAAUUAGUUUGUUGGAAAUGGAUGUAUUUGUUUCAUGUAAGUAGAAGUUUACAGAAAACUAAUUUCUUGGAAAGAUACCUUGAAAAAGUAAGGAUCUGAUUCUUUGCCUCAAGUAUCAGAGUCACAUAAUUCUAAAAUCGGCCCAUCUCCUCCUGUUAUAUCGCUUCUGGUGACUAGUUUUUUGUUUUCAGUGGAAAAGAUGUCUUUUAUAUUGACACAAUUCUGAUAUUGAAUAGGUUCCUCAUUCAUAUUAAAACAUCUAUUGGUAAAGCCACGCUGUGCAAUAUUGACAUACAUUUUAUGGGCUAACAGCUCCAGUAAAAAAAUGCAAGAAUUUAAUUUAUAUAGAAUCACAUUGAAAUUACAACACAGAUUCAGACUAUUUGGCCCAUAUGCCAACUGUUUAUAUAUCCUAUGAGUCUUGUCUCGACCAAUGUCAUCUAACCAUGUGAGCAUAUUACCGUAUUAACCUCAAUUUUGUUUGUUUAUCUAGUUUCCCAACUAAAUGCAUCAGUAUUAUUCAUCUCAACUUCUGUGAUAGCAAAUUCCCCUUUCUAAGUGCUCUCUGAAUACAGAAAUUUCCUCUGAAUUCCUAAUGGAUUUUCUUGUUGAUUACGCUAUAUUAUGGCCUCUCAUUUUGGUAAUCCCUUAAAUUGAAAUAAUCUUAUUUAUUUCCAUCUUAUCAAAUCACAUCAUAAUGUUAUGUCUCUAAUGUAGUCAUAAAAUAGUACGACAUGGCAGGAAAUUAUUUGGCUCAAUUUGAUAGGUUCCUGGCAGCAGUUGCUGGAAUUUGAAUGCAGCUAAUAAUAAAAAACUCUAGAAUAUGAGAUUAAUUUCAGUAAUGGUACAAUGGAACUGUCAUUGAGCGGGAAUAUCCAUCUAGUUCACUAAUGUCCUUUAGGAAGGGAAAUCUGCCAUCCUUAGCUGAUCUAGUUUACAUGAAACUCCAGAAACACAGCAAUUUUGUUGACUUUUAACUGCUGUCUGAAAUGGCCAAGUAAACCACUCAGUUCCAGGGCAAUUCAGGGACAGAGAGGUUUUCCAUAAAUAAUCAUGAAAUUGACAUAGCAUUAAAGUUCAAUUAUACCUCACCCAACAAUGUGUAACUUAUCAAGGAUUCUUGUAGCAAUACUAAUAGCAGCAAAGGGCAAAUUCUCAUUAAGUUUAUAAUUGAUGAAAUACUGCAGGAAAUUCAAUAGUAAACUAUACGGAGGAGCCUAAAAUAUUUUUUGAGGCAAAUGCUGUCAGUUUUGCUGUCGUUAAUUACUGCAAAUUCCAGGCCCCUGUUAUUAGCAUUUUCACAAUAUGUUACAAUCAGAAUUAAAACUAAAAUACUCUGCUCAAUUGCAUGCAGCAUUUCCUGAUCUUGAUGUAGAUUUGUUUAACGGGUGCCAAAUUCACCUGGAAUCUAUAACAAUGAUGGUUCAAGGCCAUUUCCCAUGUACAGUGAAAUCAAAUCAAAGCAGCAGCGGAAUAGAUCCAAUAAUGCUUCUUAUUCAGUCACCAACCAGGAAAAUGAAACAAGAUUGUGUGUUUGUAGCUUUAUGCUAUUUUGUUUUUGUACGGUGUCUUUUUCAAAGUAAAUCUGUGUGCACGGUAACCUUUCAAGCAGUUCAAUGUCUUCUAUAAUGUAUAUGUUUAUAUUUUUGUACAGGCUGAGUCCUAUUAAUGUAGAAAGCAGUGAUGAGAUGUGAAACAUGGCAGCUUAUGUGUACAGACUGUUUAGGGAUUUUGGAUCCCUGGUUGUUUAUGCACAGUAAUGUAACAAUCAUGUUUAAAAUUGUGGUCAUGUUUUCACAUUUUUAUAAUAUAUGUUAAUUUUGUCUUUCACACUGUAACUAAAUUGAUAUAUGUUAAAUAAUUGGAAGGUUUUAAUUUCAGUCUGCCACUUGUUUUUAAUCCAUUUUCCACAGUUACUAUGUCAUAAAAGAGGGAGGAGAACGUGCUAGAAAAUUCCAGAAUAUUGCAUAUUUAAUUGCAGUGUGAAGAGGCCUUUAACUAGAGGUCCUCCCACUUUUUGUUCAUAGGGAAGCUCUGUAACUAUUGGUACAUAUAAGGAGAUUGCCCAAUAACUAUAGUCUGACUGCCUGAGGUCUCUUGCAAAUAUUAACACGCCCACAAAAAGUGACAAAUAUUAACUUCUAAAAGUCAGUUUAUAAACUAACAGUUCCUUCCACUGACUUCAAAAGUAAUCAGUCUCGAAGGAAAACGAUGUUGUUAGUCAGAUUACUGUUGCUGUAGGAAACCAAAUUGUUGGACAGCAAUGAAAAUAGUGUGUCAGUGAAUCAACUAGUGCACAGCAAGAGUAUUUACAAGACGGAAUCCCAGAGACAGUGUUUGUGAACAUUUCCCCAAAGACCUUCAUUUGAAAGCGUGCUUUGCAAAUUCACAUUGUGCUGUCAUUUAGUGGGUGGACUACAAACAAUUAUGGAGCAUUAAUUCUAGUCUGCAAAAACACUUGCUUUGGUUGCAGGAAAACCUGCCUUCAUAUCCUGGAUCCACAAAUCUACCUACAGACUACAAAACGACAAUCAAGGAACCAAUUCACCGAUCCCAAGUUGCAGAGAUUGGACUGAAAUUAUUAACUACGAUAGGUUGUGCGUAAAGUGUGAUGAAAGCCACAUUGUCUCUUUCUGCAUUUAAUGGAAGGGUCUAUGGCCACAUGAAGGACAAGCAAAGACAAGGGCAAAUAGCUAAAACCUACAUUUCUGUAGUGGUUUUCAAGGUCUCAGGACAAUGUCAUAAUGUAUGAAUGUAACAGCCAAUUUGUGAAUGGUAAGAUCCCACAAACGAGAGUAAAGUGAAUGAUCAUCUGA